GACGAACGCUGGCGGCGUGCUUAACACAUGCAAGUCGAACGCUGAAGCUCAGCUUUUGUUGGGUGGAUGAGUGGCGAACGGGUGAGUAACACGUGAGUAACCUGCCUCCUUCUUUGGGAUAACGCCCGGAAACGGGUGCUAAUACUGGAUAUUCACUGGUCUUCGCAUGGGGGUUGGUGGAAAGGGUUUUUCUGGUGGGGGAUGGGCUCGCGGCCUAUCAGCUUGUUGGUGGGGUGAUGGCCUACCAAGGCUUUGACGGGUAGCCGGCCUGAGAGGGUGACCGGUCACAUUGGGACUGAGAUACGGCCCAGACUCCUACGGGAGGCAGCAGUGGGGAAUAUUGCACAAUGGGCGCAAGCCUGAUGCAGCGACGCCGCGGGAGGGAUGGAGGCCUUCGGGUUGUGAACCUCUUUCGCUCAUGGUCAAGCCGCAACAAUGGUUGUGGUGAGGGUAGUGGGUAAAGAAGCGCCGGCUAACUACGUG
rnacentral:rRNA from 1 species